rnacentral:rRNA from 1 species
GACGAACGCUGGCGGCGUGCUUAACACAUGCAAGUCGAACGGAAAGGCCCUGCUUUUGUGGGGUUCUCGAGUGGCGAACGGGUGAGUAACACGUGAGUAACCUGCCCUUGACUUUGGGAUAACUUCAGGAAACUGGGGCUAAUACCGGAUAGGAGCUCCUGCUGCAUGGUGGGGGUUGGAAAGUUUCGGCGGUUGGGGAUGGACUCGCGGCUUAUCAGCUUGUUGGUGGGGUAGUGGCUUACCAAGGCUUUGACGGGUAGCCGGACUGAGAGGGUGACCGGCCACAUUGGGACUGAGAUACGGCCCAGACUCCUACGGGAGGCAGCAGUGGGGAAUAUUGCACAAUGGGCGGAAGCCUGAUGCAGCAACGCCGCGUGCGGGAUGACGGCCUUCGGGUUGUAAACCGCUUUCGCCUGUGACGAAGCGUGAGUGACGGUAAUGGGUAAAGAAGCACCGGCUAACUACGUG